AAAAACAGAAACCUGCUACAAAACACAAGACAAACCGUUCAGUAUUGCUGAUGUUUUUACCCCACACUCUAAACACGUUUUUUGUUUUAAAUAAACAUUUGAAUUCGUUAUUAAUCAUUCUUCCUUGUUUUUGUAAAAAAACGUUGACAUUACUAAAUAUAAUUAGUUGUUUGAACUAUUCAGACGAAAUGUUGAAUGCAGAGUGAUUAUGUUAACUUUCUUACAGUUACAGUCAACAGAAAUAUUUAGAUACAAUAAACAACAUAUAUUUUGCACACAAAUACUAUAAACCUCACUCUUCUUCUUCUUCUUCUUCUUCUUCUUUCUUUUACAAAUUAACAGUUUAUGAAAGUUUUAAUAAAUAAAAUACACAAUAGUUUAUUGACUCACUUGUUGUAUUGGAGCUUUGCAUGUUCGAUGAUUCCAGAACUGAACUCUCUUCCCUGGACUUGGAGGAAAACCCUACUUCUCCCAGAGCACAGAAUAAACAAAAGCCUAUAUUACUAGAAAAAUGAUUCAUACUCAAAUAGAAUAUACUUUAUCUGAUAACUGGCAAGGGGGGAGUGCCAAUGUACAGGGGGCAUGUUUACUGGUCAAAUGAGUGCCAGUCAGUCAAGUCCGUCCCACAGUACACAGCAAAGCUGGAGAUGAUGUUAACCGAAACACUUGGAGAGGGUUUUGUGGUUUAGUUUGUGGUUUUUCGCUCAACAUUCAUCUCGACCCUACAGAGGGUUUGUGGUUAGAAGGAAAAUCACAGGUGGAAAGUAAAUUACCUACUGUACUAUUUAAUAUGUGGUUGUUAUUUCUGUUGUUACUACUGGAGGGCAGUAUGUGAUAAUUGAUAUAAAGAGCACAAUGAGAAAAGGACGCUGUGAAGUGAUGUAACAAUAUUUGUUGUUAUGAAAAUGUCAGCAGUAUUUAUUGAGAAACAGCCUCUUUAUUUGAGAAAUACAACAUCUGCCUCCACCCUAAACCUACUUCUUACUCAUAUCCCUUAAUCAUUCCUCCACCCUUACCCUAAUUUCGAUAAAACAAUUCUGGGAACUAAAGGCGCCUCGGAUAUCCUUUUGAUUACCCCAUUGAUAACUUAAAAAUGUAUUUUUUUUUAUAACUUAAUGUAUAACUUAAAAAUGUAUUUUAAGUGCCUCAAAGCUCUUUUUCUCAUAAUAGGAUUCAUUGAGGAACCAUAGUCUUUGCAGUUUGUGCAGGAGCUCCUUUCCUCAAAGAACCAACCGCUGCUCAAGAAAAUCCAGUAUACAUGAGUUCUCUUUAAAUCUCAACAGAGCAGCACUAUAGUGUCUGACUAUCCAGUUUGCCCUACCUGACUGUAGGCAUGAAGAUGGCAUGAAGAAGGAUGCUGCAAUGCGGUCUGCAACAAGAGUAGAGCACCUCAAAGCUGCCGAUUGGAUGACUAAUAGGAGGGGCGUUGACGUUGAUUGCUCGACGUCACAGCUUCUCCUGAAUGUGUGCCAAGUUAAAAGUGAAAGUAUAAACUGAAGGAGCGUAGGCGGAGCGUGUGUAAGGCCGGGGAAGCAUUAGCAGAUAUAGACCUACGUACAAUGUAAAUUAGAGAUUCAUUUUGCAGUGCAGACAGCUUUAGUGAUUAUAAGGACGUUUUUUUUGUUGAGAGAGAGAGAGAGAGCACUUAAACUCGCGAUAGAUCAAAGUUAUAAUGUCACUUUAUUUUCUAUUCGCCGUUUAAAUAGGCUAUCCGUGGAAAGUUCUAUAAUUAUCAAUUUCUAAUGUUUUAAUUAAAAACUGUAAUCACGUAAAAUACAAAUUCAGUUCCAUUAAACAUAUUUAUUAGCCUAUAUGACACCACUGUCUGGUUCUUGCCUAAAAAGACAUGGUGUUUGUAUUUAUUAAUAGAUUUGGCUGCUUUUAGCCUUCGCCCAUGGUAAUCGCGCGUUUGAGUUUAAUUUUUAAAAGGGGAAGCAAAUAUCAAUUAGUCAGUACUUUAAAAGGUCUAAGUUGGACAUUACAAUUUUACUGCAUCAAGAAACCAACAAUAACACUGCAGAUGAACCUCAGUCUCCUGCUAAUGAGCCUAGGCCACUGUCGCCAUCAAUGCACGGGGCGUCUGCUAAUGAACCAUAAGAGUCAGUGUCAAAGGAUUCUGGAACUCCACCAGCAGACCUGUCUGAUAUGGACGAGCCACCCAUGCAGCCAAAAUUGCAACGAUUUCCAGUUAUUAUACAAUACAAGGAAAACCACGAUGUUUUUCUUUGCGAUGGUAUGAGAGAUUCAGCUGAUUGGAAUACAGCACAGCCAGCGAUGCAGUUUUCUGUAUCCUGCAGGCAUUUCCCUGAGCUAUAAGCAAAAUGUACACAGGAUGGAUUUAAAGAGUUGAAUCAUCUAAGUAAAGCAUGUAAGAAGCACCAGGAUACCAAAGGACACCUGCGCUCACAAACGAAACUACCGCUUAUAGACAAAGAUAUUCCGUUGCGUGGUCACAGAGAAAGCGAGGAAGUAUUAAACCAGGGAAUUUUUUUGGAAUUGUUCCGUUUGCUUUCAAACUAUUAUACGAACAUUCAACCGCGCCUUGACCAGCUGCCUAAAAAUGCGACGAUGAUGAGCUCAGAUAUUCAGAAAGAUUUGCUGCGCAAGAUAAAAAGCGAGUUACAAAUUACACCAGGCAUGCCAUUAUGGCCACGGCCACCCCUGUAUAAACUCUGGCCACCCCUGUGGCCACCCCUAGGAUGAUUUGCAGUGGCCACUAUUAAUUUAAAUCUAUUUUAAAUCUAUUAAUUUUAGAUCUAUAUAAUUUAUAUGUCAUUUAAUAUAGUUACUAUCACACGAAGAGUGACGUUUUUCUCCAGAAGUCUGCAUAAUUGCAAAUGUGACAUUGAUUUCAUACAACAGUUCAAUAAACAAGAAGUUAAUAUCAAGAGUUUUACGUUUUAGACAACAUAUUCACUUUUUGCGCUCUAUUUCUAAAAACAAAAUCGUUCCAAACACAGCCACUGUUUUGCGUCUCUGAGCAACAUGAUAGUGUUUCGUUCCUGAAUGAAUCAACCGUUUAAAUGAUUCGGUUCAAUCGCAAUGACUCGCUUAUUAACAGUGACUCGCUGCCACCUACUGGCUGUUUUAAUUUCACAUUUAAGGUACCAUUUCAUUUUUUUAA
ensembl:lncRNA